rnacentral:rRNA from 1 species
UACGUAGGUGGCGAGCGUUGUCCGGAAUUACUGGGCGUAAAGGGUGCGUAGGCGGUUUUUUAAGUCAGAUGUGAAAUCCCAGGGCUCAACUCUGGAGUUGCAUUUGAAACUGGAGGGCUAGAGUGCAGGAGAGGAAAGCGGAAUUCCUAGUGUAGCGGUGAAAUGCGUAGAUAUUAGGAAGAACACCAGUGGCGAAGGCGGCUUUCUGGACUGUAACUGACGCUGAGGCACGAAAGCGUGGGGAGCAAAC